rnacentral:misc_RNA from 1 species
UGCGGCUGGAUCCCCUCCUUUCCAGAGCUUCGCGUCUCAAAGUUGAGCGCUCACACUUGUCGGCUGUUAAUUGAAGACAGGCUCAGGGGUCUGUAGCUCAGUCGGUUAGAGCACCGUCUUGAUAAGGCGGGGGUCGAUGGUUCGAAUCCAUCCAGACCCACCAUUGCCUUGUCUGGUGUGGCUGCUGAUGUAGCUGGCUGGAUAUGCCCUGUGCGCUGUAUGACUGGGGGAUUAGCUCAGCUGGGAGAGCACCUGCUUUGCAAGCAGGGGGUCGUCGGUUCGAUCCCGUCAUCCUCCACCAAUUCCCAAUGCCUAGCGUUCAGUGCGAACUGAGCAUUAAGCAUUGGCAAUUGAGCCAGUCAGCAAGUGAUUUAAGGCAUAGCGCCUUAUAUCGGCUGUCGUUCUUUAACAAUCAGGAAGAAGUAGUAAAGAGAUUCACGAAAGCGUGCUUAGAGAUGGGCGCGUGAGUAGGUGAAUCAGGGUUGUGAUUGUAUCAAUGUAUUUUUUGAGUUCAUCGAAAGACGAACCUGGAAUACGGCACAACGCGAAUACUCAGCCUGUAGCGGAUGUUCUCGAAUGAGACACACCCGUUAUAGGGUCAAGCGAACAAGUGCAUGUGGUGGAUGCCUUGGCGAUCACAGGCGAUGAAGGACGCGGUAGCCUGCGAAAAGCGGAGGGGAGCUGGCAAACGAGCUUUGAUCCUCCGAUAUCCGAAUGGGGAAACCCGGAA